CCUACGGGUGGCAGCAGUGGGGAAUAUUGCACAAUGGGGGAAACCCUGAUGCAGCGACGCCGCGUGAGUGAAGAAGUAAUUCGUUAUGGAAAGCUCUAUUAGUAGGGAAGUAAAUGACGGUACCUGUGUAAGAAGCCCCGGCUAACUACGUGCCAGCAGCCGCGGUAAUACGUAGGGGGCAAGCGUUAUCCGGAUUUACUGGGUGUAAAGGGAGCGUAGACGGCAGUGCAAGUCUGGAGUGAAAGGCGGGGGCGCAACCCCCGGACUGCUCUGGAAACUGUACGGCUGGAGUGCAGGAGAGGUAAGUGGAAUUCCUAGUGUAGCGGUGAAAUGCGUAGAUAUUAGGAGGAACACCAGUGGCGAAGGCGGCUUACUGGACUGUAACUGACGUUGAGGCUCGAAAGCGUGGGGAGCAAACAGGAUUAGAUACCCUAGUAGUC
rnacentral:rRNA from 1 species